CCUGAAGCUGAGGCUCCAAGACUCUGGCCACCUCCUGAGAAGACUCCCUGGAAAAGACCCUGAUGUUGGGAAAGAUGGAGGGCGCAAGGAGAAGGGGACGACAGAGGACGAGAUGGUGGGACAGUGUUCUCGAAGCUACCAGCAUGAGGGAGGCAGUGGAAGACAGGAGGGCCUGGUGUGCUCUGGUCCAGGGGGUCACCAAGAGGCGGACACGACUAAACAACAACACACACACGUGUCCACAAACACCAAAUCUCUUUCAUUGUAACUACAGGUAAUGCAAUAGGAUUCCUUCUGCACAUGGCCUUUGCAACACAGCUCAGUUACAUGCUAACAAAUAUCUACAAUAUUUUAAUCACUUUUAAUCUAAGACAAAUUUCUCAAAGUCUCAGAUUCAGUAGAUGAGAAGGUACAUAUUAAUUUCAGAAAAAUAAGGCAUCUCUCCUUCAUCAUCAUCAUCAUCAUCAAGCAUUUCUCCUUCGCCAGAGUGGCUGGGAAAACCCAGAGGUACAAAUAAAAGCAGCAGCAUCAUCUGACUUAUUGGAUGUAUUGAAGCAGAGCUUGAAUGUCUGCCAGGGAUUCUUCAGUUGUGAUUCCUGGCUUGCAGCUGGCAGGGCUCCCUUCCCACUCUACAAUUCUAUUAUUCCCAAAUUGGGAAGGGUCCCUUUUUGGGGAUCCAUGUUCUCUAUUACGUACUGGAUAUCAUUUGUUGCACAAUGUGCCAUUUAGCCACGAGGUGGCAGCCUGUGCCCAUCAAUACUGCAUUUACAACCUGCUGACGACUGGUGCAAAGUGAAAACACUUGAGAGCGCAAGACCCCUGUUACUUGACCUGGUCAAAGACCCCCCACCCCAGUUCAGCAUCUUCUUCUCACAGAGGCCAAGCAAAGCCCCCUCUGUCGGAGGAGAUGUCUCAUCCAAGCCCAGAUUUUAAAAAUGUAGGGAGAUGAGAAGAGCGACCUUGAAGUUUGCUGGCUGCUGGGAGAGCAAACUGAGCAGGAGCCCCCUCGUCUUCCUCAAUAGGGUGACGCAGAUCGUUUUCCUUUCUAAAUUAUAGUCCCCAUGAAAAGUCACCAAUGUUUGAGUGCAAAUUGCUCCUAAUAGGCACAUGUACAAUUUUGCCUAAUAGACACAUUUUUUGCAAAGCAAUUCCCCCUGAAGGCAAUAUAUUCUUUUGUAUGUUAUUUUCACUAAUGUGGAUGAAUUUUAAAUCCACAAUUUGCCCUAAUCUGUUUAUUAAUAUAGACAUUGCUUACCUGGAGAACUAUGCUUCAAAAUUUGGGGAAGUGCAAAUUCUUUCAAAUUACAAGAAAGGCGAUUCCAUCUAAACAUUAGGAAUAAUAAUAAUAGUAAUAAUUUUAUUAUUUAUACCCCACCCAUCUGGGAAUUUUCUGACACUAAAAGCUGUUUGACAGUGGAACAGACUACAUCAGAAGCUGGUGGACAUUUUAAGGCAUAAGUCAGACGGCCAUCUGCCAGGCAUUCUGAGCUGUGGUUCCUGCAUUGCAGAGGGUUGGACUAGAUGACCCUUGGUGUCCCUUCUGACUCUAUGAUUCAGUGCAUUUUCAGUUCCCAUAUUGUUUGGGAAAGUGCAGAUUAGGCAGGUUCAUCUUCCAGUGCAAAAGGGAUCAAUUUUCUUCCUCCGCCCUUGCAUUUUAUAGAUGAACUGCAAUCAAUCCUUUCUGUUCCACACGCUCUGAGCGAGGCCGACCUGUUGCCGCUCCCUCGAUGGGCAAAGAGCCAGAAAGGUCAGGACUUCAUCUGUGUGAACCGGGCAAGAUCUAAGCUCUGCUGUGAUGAAUUCUUCCAGCCACCCCCCGGGGGCCUGCGCAGCGGCCGUCAGUCUUCCUGGCACUUGGCAUUUUUGCCGUUUCAGAGACUUUUUGAGGGCCCCUGCGGGCCCAGGAAUAUUGAGGCAACAAUUCACACUCAACACUAAACAAGACAUCAGCAAAAAUUGGGAAAGUCUGAAAAGGGAGCCUCAGUGGGAUAAAUGCGUGGGCCACAGAAGAACCAAGCGGGGGGAGGUUUGAUUCUGUUCCAUGACGGCAAACUUAAGAACAUGUGAAUUGUUAGAAUUUCUGCUCCGUGAUUGCAGUCAUGGGAUUGUUGUCAAUCCCAUGACGGUGUAUGUUUUGACUCCACAGAGUGGGAAGUGAAGGAGACAGGAUGUUUGUGUUCAUGUGUUCUGUGAAGUGGGACUAUUGUCCUUUGUUCUUUUUCUCUCUGCUGUCUGAUGCUAGAGAGAGAG
rnacentral:lncRNA from 1 species